rnacentral:rRNA from 1 species
CCUACGGGAUGCAGCAGUGAGGAAUAUUGGUCAAUGGACGAGAGUCUGAACCAGCCAAGUAGCGUGAAGGAUGACUGCCCUAUGGGUUGUAAACUUCUUUUAUAAAGGAAUAAAACGAGGCACGUGUGCCUUUUUGCAUGUACUUUAUGAAUAAGGAUCGGCUAACUCCGUGCCAGCAGCCGCGGUAAUACGGAGGAUCCGAGCGUUAUCCGGAUUUAUUGGGUUUAAAGGGAGCGUAGAUGGGUUGUUAAGUCAGUUGUGAAAGUUUGUGGCUCAACCGUAAAAUUGCAAUUGAUACUGGAAGUCUUGAGUACAGUUGAGGUAGGCGGAAUUCGUGGUGUAGCGGUGAAAUGCUUAGAGAUCACGAAGAACCCCGAUUGCGAAGGCAGCUUACUAAACUGUGACUGACAUUGAUGCUCGAAAGUGUGGGUAUCAAACAGGAUUAGAUACCCUUGUAGUC